ACACUACUCUCUCCGUAUGGAAUUACUUGUCAUAGAAAUGGAUAUAUCUAGAUGUAUUUUAUUUUUAGAUACAUCAAUUUUUUUCCAUUUUCACGACAAGUAAUUCCGGACGGAGGGAUUAUUUC
rnacentral:pre_miRNA from 1 species